AUACGGAGGGGACAAGCGUUGUUCGGAAUCAUUGGGCGUAAAGCGGGUGUAGGCGGCUUGGCAAGUCGGGUGUGAAAUCCCUGGGCCCAACCCAGGAACUGCACUCGAAACUGCCUCGCUAGAGUCCCGGAGAGGGUGGCGGAAUUCCCGGUGUAGAGGUGAAAUUCGUAGAUAUCGGGAGGAACACCAGUGGCGAAGGCGGCCACCUGGACGGUGACUGACGCUCAGACCCGAAAGCGUGGGGAGCAAACAGGAUUAGAUACCCCGGUAGUCC
rnacentral:rRNA from 1 species